CUACAGGCCAAUACCCUGAUCAAAAUCGAUACAAAAAUCCUCAACAAAAUACUGGUAAACAAAUCCAACACAUUAAAAAUAAUUCAUUGUGGAUCCUUGCAAAUGUUAUCUGCUGAGAUGCCUCACACAGAGACUGUCUCUCCUUUUCCUUCCUCUAUGGAUCUGCUUAUUCAGGACAGCCCUGAUUUUUCCACCAGUCCCAAAGGCAAACAAUCCACUGCAGCAGAGAAUUGCGCCACAAAAAAGGAAGACAAGGUCGCAGUCAAGAAAUAGAAGACCAGAACUGUGUUCUCGUUUACCCAGCUUUGUGUACUCAAUGAUAGAUUUCAGAAACAGAAAUUCCUUAGCCUUUAGCAGAUGCAAGAACUUUCCAACAGCCUGAACCUUAGCUACAAACAGGCAAAGACCUGGUUCCAGAACCAGAGAAUGAAAUCUAAGAGGUGGCAUUAAAACAACUGACCAAAGAACAGCAAUGGUGUGACUCAGAAGGCCUCAGCACCUGCCUACCCCAGCCUCUACUCUUCCUACCACCAGGGAUGCCUGCUGGACACAACUGGGAACAUUUCAGUGUGGAGCAACCAGACCUGGAGCAAUUCACCCUGGAGCAACCAGACCCGGAAUAUCCAGUCCUGGAGCAAUCACUCCUGGAACACUCAGAAUUGGUGCACCCAGUCCUGAAACAAUCAGGCCUGGAACAAUCCCUUCUAUAACUGUGGAGAGGAAUCUCUGGAAUCUCUGCAGUCCUGAUUGCAAUUCCAGCCAAAUUCUGCCAGUGACUUGCAGGCUGCUUUGGAAACUGCUGGGGAAAGCCAUAAUGUAAUACAGCAGACCACUAGGUGUAUUAGUACUCCACAAACCAUGGAUUUGUUCCUAAACUACUCCACGAACAUGCAACCUGAAGAUGUAUGAAGAUGAGUGAAAUUGAUAUUACUCAAUUUCACUCUGGGCACUGACUGAAUCCUUCCUCUCCCUUCUUCCCCUCCUUCAUAGGAUUUUUUUUGUUUGGAAAUCACAUGUUCUGGUUUCCAUCAUGCCUAUACAGCCAAUUUUAUGGAGGAUGGGAUAUGGUUGGAGCCUAAUCAGAGAGGUUUCUUUUUUUUUUUUUUCUUAUUGGAUCUUCCUGGAGAAAAAACAUUUUGAUAACCUUGGCUGAUAAGGACAACAUGAUAGAAGCUGUCUCUGGCUAUAGAUAAGUAGAUCUAAUGCUAGUUUGGAUAUGUUUAGGGUUUCGAAUCUAACCUCAAGAAUAAGAAAUAAAAGUACAAA